rnacentral:rRNA from 1 species
GAUCAAGUGUCAAAAGGGCAUUUGGUGGAUGCCUUGGCAUGCACAGGCGAUGAAGGACGUGAUACGCUGCGAUAAGCCGUGGGGAGCUGCGAAUGAGCUUUGAUCCAUGGAUCUCCGAAUGGGGCAACCCACCUUAAAUGCUUGGAAAAUCAUUUUGGUUGUCGUUUGGCUGAACGAAGCGAAGCUUCGCAAGGCCAGAGGCCGUCGCGCAUCGUUGCGCGCCCUAACGGAGCGUCAGCUCCGAAGGAGCGGUACGACGCGUGAGUGAGAACCAAAAUGGUUUCCAAGCAUUGUUGAAAGGUAUCUUAUUCUGAAUACAUAGGGAUAAGAAGCGAACGCAGGGAACUGAAACAUCUAAGUACCUGCAGGAAAGGACAUCAACCGAGACUCCGCAAGUAGUGGCGAGCGAACGCGGACCAGGCCAGUGGCAAUGAGGAAUGAAGUGGAACGAUUUGGAAAGGUCGGCCGUAGAGGGUGAUAGCCCCUUACACGUAGAACACUCAUUGUCCUUGAGUAAGGCGGGACACGAGAAAUCCUGUCUGAACAUGGGGAGACCACUCUCCAAGCCUAAGUACUCGUGCAUGACCGAUAGCGAACAAGUACCGUGAGGGAAAGGUGAAAAGCACCCCGACAAGGGGAGUGAAAUAGAACCUGAAACCGGAUGCCUACAAACAGUCGGAGCCCGCAAGGGUGACGGCGUACCUUUUGUAUAAUGGGUCAACGACUUAGUGUGACGAGCAAGCUUAAGCCGAUAGGUGAAGGCGCAGCGAAAGCGAGUCUGAACAGGGCGUUCAGUUCGUCGCAUUAGACCCGAAACCGAGUGAUCUAGCCAUGAGCAGGUUGAAGGUUGGGUAACACCAACUGGAGGACCGAACCCGCAUCUGUUGCAAUAGAUUGGGAUGACUUGUGGCUAGGGGUGAAAGGCCAAUCAAACUCGGAAAUAGCUGGUUCUCCGCGAAAUCUAUUUAGGUAGAGCGUCGACCGAAUAUUGGGGGUAGAGCACUGGAUGGGCUAUGGGGACUCACCGUCUUACUGAUCCUAACCAAACUCCGAAUACCGGGGAGUACUAGUCGGCAGACACACGGCGGGUGCUAACGUCCGUCGUGAAAAGGGCAACAACCCUGACCUCCAGCUAAGGUCCCCAAGUCAUGGCUAAGUGGGAAAGGAUGUGAGGAUCCCAAAACAACCAGGAUGUUGGCUUAGAAGCAGCCAUCAUUUAAAGAAAGCGUAACAGCUCACUGGUCUAAAUAAGGGUCUUUGCGCCGAAAAUGUAACGGGGCUAAAGCCAUGCACCGAAGCUGAGGAUGUGCCGCAAGGCACGUGGUAGCGGAGCGUUCCGUAAGCCUGUGAAGGGAUACCCGUGAGGGGUCCUGGAGGUAUCGGAAGUGCGAAUGUUGACAUGAGUAACGAUAAAGAGGGUGAGAGACCCUCUCGCCGAAAGACCAAGGGUUCCUGCUUAAAGUUAAUCUGAGCAGGGUUAGCCGGCCCCUAAGACGAGGCGGACACGCGUAGUCGAUGGGAACCACGUUAAUAUUCGUGGGCCUGGUGGUAGUGACGGAUCGCUUAACUUGUCUGGACUUAUUGGAUUGUCCAGGCCUGGACGCGGUCCCGGGAAAUAGCUCCACCGUAUAGACCGUACCCGAAACCGACACAGGUGGUCAGGUAGAGUAUACCAAGGCGCUUGAGAGAACUGCGUUGAAGGAACUCGGCAAAUUGCACGCGUAACUUCGGAAGAAGCGUGACCCUUUUGUACGCAAGUAUGAUGGGGUGGCACAGACCAGGGGUAGCGACUGUUUAUCAAAAACACAGGGCUCUGCGAAGUCGCAAGACGACGUAUAGGGUCUGACGCCUGCCCGGUGCUGGAAGGUUAAGAGGAGGGGUGCAAGCUCUGAAUCGAAGCCCCAGUAAACGGCGGCCGUAACUAUAACGGUCCUAAGGUAGCGAAAUUCCUUGUCGGGUAAGUUCCGACCUGCACGAAUGGCGUAACGACUUCCCCGCUGUCUCCAACGCAGACUCAGUGAAAUUGAAUUCCCCGUGAAGAUGCGGGGUUCCUGCGGUCAGACGGAAAGACCCCGUGCACCUUUACUAUAGCUUUACACUGGCAUUCGUGUCGGCAUGUGUAGGAUAGGUGGUAGGCUUUGAAGCAGGGACGCCAGUUCCUGUGGAGCCGUCCUUGAAAUACCACCCUUAUCGUCAUGGAUGUCUAACCGCGGUCCGUCAUCCGGAUCCGGGACAGUGUAUGGUGGGUAGUUUGACUGGGGCGGUCGCCUCCGAAAGAGUAACGGAGGCGCGCGAUGGUGGGCUCAGAGCGGUCGGAAAUCGCUCGUCGAGUGCAAUGGCAUAAGCCCGCCUGACUGCGAGACUGACAAGUCGAGCAGAGACGAAAGUCGGUCAUAGUGAUCCGGUGGUCCCGCGUGGAAGGGCCAUCGCUCAACGGAUAAAAGGUACGCCGGGGAUAACAGGCUGAUGACCCCCAAGAGUCCAUAUCGACGGGGUUGUUUGGCACCUCGAUGUCGGCUCAUCGCAUCCUGGGGCUGGAGCAGGUCCCAAGGGUUUGGCUGUUCGCCAAUUAAAGCGGUACGUGAGCUGGGUUCAGAACGUCGUGAGACAGUUCGGUCCCUAUCUGCCGUGGGUGUAGGAAUAUUGACAGGAUCUGUCCCUAGUACGAGAGGACCGGGAUGGACAUAUCUCUGGUGGACCUGUUGUCCUGCCAAGGGCAUAGCAGGGUAGCUAUAUAUGGAAGGGAUAACCGCUGAAGGCAUCUAAGCGGGAAACCCACCUGAAAACGAGUAUUCCCUUGAGAACCGUGGAAGACGACCACGUUGAUAGGCCGGGUGUGGAAGUGCGGCAACGCAUGAAGCUUACCGGUACUAAUCGUUCGAUCGGCUUGAUCGU